GACGAACCGUGCGAACGUUGUUCGGAAUCACUGGGCUUAAAGGGCGCGUAGGCGGGCCAUCAAGUCCGGGGUGAAAUCCUUCGGCUUAACCGGAGAAUUGCCUUGGAUACUGGUGGUCUUGAGGGAAGUAGGGGUCUGCGGAACUUCCGGUGGAGCGGUGAAAUGUGUUGAUGUCGGAAGGAACGCCGGUGGCGAAAGCGGCGGACUGGGCUUCUUCUGACGCUGAGGCGCGAAAGCUAGGGGAGCAAACGGG
rnacentral:rRNA from 1 species